CCUACGGGAGGCAGCAGUGAGGAAUAUUGGUCAAUGGCCGGGAGGCUGAACCAGCCAAGUCGCGUGAGGGAAGACGGCCCUACGGGUUGUAAACCUCUUUUGUCAGGGAGCAAGGUGCAGGUCGGGACCUGCUGUGAGAGUACCUGAAGAAAAAGCAUCGGCUACCUCCGUGCCAGCAGCCGCGGUAAUACGGAGGAUGCGAGCGUUGUCCGGAAUUACUGGGUGUAAAGGGAGCGCAGGCGGGAAGCCAAGUCAGCUGUGAAAACUACGGGCUUAACUUGUAGACUGCAGUUGAAACUGGUUUUCUUGAGUGAAGUAGAGGUUGGCGGAAUUCCGAGUGUAGCGGUGAAAUGCGUAGAUAUUCGGAGGAACACCGGUGGCGAAGGCGGCCAACUGGGCUUUAACUGACGCUGAGGCUCGAAAGUGUGGGGAGCAAACAGGAUUAGAUACCCCAGUAGUC
rnacentral:rRNA from 1 species